ACGCACGCUGGCGGCAUGCUUAACACAUGCAAGUCGAACGGAAAGGCCCUGCUUUUGUGGGGUGCUCGAGUGGCGAACGGGUGAGUAACACGUGAGUAACCUGCCCUUGACUUUGGGAUAACUUCAGGAAACUGGGGCUAAUACCGGAUAGGAGCUCCUGCUGCAUGGUGGGGGUUGGAAAGUUUCGGCGGUUGGGGAUGGACUCGCGGCUUAUCAGCUUGUUGGUGGGGUAGUGGCUUACCAAGGCUUUGACGGGUAGCCGGCCUGAGAGGGUGACCGGCCACAUUGGGACUGAGAUACGGCCCAGACUCCUACGGGAGGCAGCAGUGGGGAAUAUUGCACAAUGGGCGGAAGCCUGAUGCAGCAACGCCGCGUGCGGGAUGACGGCCUUCGGGUUGUAAACCGCUUUCGCCUGUGACGAAGCGUGAGUGACGGUAAUGGGUAAAGAAGCACCGGCUAACUACGUG
rnacentral:rRNA from 1 species